rnacentral:lncRNA from 1 species
AUAUUGCAAGUUAUCCUCUGCAAGUGAGAGAGUUAUUGUUUCUAAAGGACGUUUUCAUGGAAUCUUUCAUGACUCAAGCUCGGUCCAUUUUCAUUUUUGCUCUAGUCCUUGUUGCUCAACUUUUUACAAAUCAGCCUCAUUUAAAUAAUCUGAGGUCAGCUCCUGAAUUGUACCAAAGUCUCUGAUUAAAGGACUGAGGAAUGGAGCCUGGAAAAAAUAAAGUCCCAGACUUACCUGGAAGCCAGAGUACACCAGGUCCUGUUCGUGUAGCGUCUGCCACCCAUCUGUGAGGCAGAGGGCAAAUGGAAACAGAAGGAGAAUGGCUCUGGAGGGUCACCUGCAGCAAAAUGCAGAAAAAACUGAUAGCAGGAAGAAAGAGCUGGAGGCCACAGACCACGAGAUUGGGAUGGUCACUGCCUGGAGGACUGCUCAAAGAGAUUGGCUGCAAAGGGUCAUAGCUGAGGUUUUCUUCUCCCAAAAGAGAGCAGAGGCUAGCAUAAGGAUUAAUUCUCUUAUUUUCAGAAAUAACCAGAGGUCUUUGAGUAUCUUUGAUCACAAGAAAGGACUGGACCAAAGUUAAGUUUUUUAAUUUGCACAAAUAAAAAAAUGAAACCUUAUUUUAUUUCCAAAUUUUUCUAAAACCAGACAUGGCUUAUUCAUACAUAGAAAUUCUGAAGGGUGUCCACCAAUAUGUUAAUAUUGGUUCUCUAUGGGUCAGGGGGGAUUAUAGGUUAUUUUAUUAUUUUCUUUAAUCUUUUUUCCCUGAUCUUUCAACAGUAGAUUCUUGUUAUUUUACUCUUUCACUCAUCUUUAUCAUUUUCCCCCAUGAUAUUUCAACAGAGAUUAUAUUUUAUUUUAAAAUUAAUACUUAAAAAAUACUCCAUUUUAAAGUAUUUUCUUAUGUAUUAAUGUUCCAAAAUCAUCCUAGGAGAGGACAAAUUUUUACUAUUUAUUUUCAGAUUACUUAUGAACAAAAAGUUGAAAGAAAGAAGGAUCAGUAAGCUAGCUCUCUUGUUUCUCCUGUAAACAUUUUCUUUUAUUUUAUUCCUUCAAGAAAAUAAAUUUUAAAAAAAAUUAAAGGAAUGUCCAUAUACAGACUAGGAAAUAAUGUUCUUAUGUAACCAAAUACAUCAUUAACAAAUGCAGAAGUUACCAUCGUUGCUAAAAGAAAUACGAGCUUUUUUUCUUGGAAAAAAAAAAGUAUAUUUAAGACAGUCUAGACAAAAGGUAUUAACAGACUUCUUGCCACGACAUUUUUAAAAAAACCUUUUUAGAUGUUCCCUUCAGGCACAGUGGGUUAAGGAAGGAUCCAGUGUUGUCCUACAGCAGCUUCAGUUGCUGCUGUGGUGAGGGUUUGAUCCCUGGCCUGGCACAUGCUGCAGGCAUGGUCAAAAAAAAAGCGACAACAAAAAAACUUAAAAUAGAAUUAAAAAGUUAUUUUUGUGUGCAUUGGUAAAAAUUGCUUUUUUUUAAAAAAAAAAAUGUAAUCUAUUUACAUUUUCCCAACUUGUUCUUGUUCACAGCCCUCACAGUUUUGAAUUACUCUUAGAUUAUGAGUUAAUGAUGUGCCAAAUGUCUUUCCCAUGCUAAUACAGUCAUGUGUACAUAUCUCUGAGCCUGAGAACACAUCAGGUUCUAGAAGAAGUUGUCGUAGAGACCCUGCAGCACGGCCAGGUUAACCACACUGUCACACUCACGGAUACUGAGACACCAU